UACGUAGGGAGCAAGCGUUGUCCGGAAUCAUUGGGCGUAAAGCGCGCGUAGGCGGCCCUGUAAGUCCGUUGUGAAAGUCAAAGGCUCAACCUUUGAAAGCCGAUGGAUACUGCAGGGCUAGAGUUCGGAAGAGGCGAGUGGAAUUCCUGGUGUAGCGGUGGAAUGCGCAGAUAUCAGGAGGAACACCAAUAGCGAAGGCAGCUCGCUGGGACGAUACUGACGCUAAGGCGCGAAAGCGUGGGGAGCGAACGAGG
rnacentral:rRNA from 1 species